rnacentral:rRNA from 1 species
CACGGGGGGAGCAGGCGUUAAUCGGAAUUACUGGGCGUAAAGCGUGCGCAGGCGGUUUGCUAAGACAGGUGUGAAAUCCCCGGGCUUAACCUGGGAACUGCGCUUGUAACUGGCAAGCUAGAGUGUGGCAGAGGGGGGUGGAAUUCCACGUGUAGCAGUGAAAUGCGUAGAGAUGUGGAGGAACACCGAUGGCGAAGGCAGCCCCCUGGGCUAACACUGACGCUCAUGCACGAAAGCGUGGGGAGCAAACAGG